UUUUUGAAUAAAAUGUUAAAUUAUAUUCAAAAGAAAAAUAACCUUUUUACAACUAGUGCAACACUUUCAGAUCAUUUCCCCUUAUUUGUUAGGACUGAAAUAAAAAUUAGAAAAGAAAGCAAAAAACAGAGGCUAAGAACGUGAUUGAAACCAGAGUUGUAAAGCUUCGUCGAAUCGUCGAUCCCCCAGUAAUCCAAUAGAUAGCAGCCGGUCCCUCACUUGCCUGUCGAUCCAGGAGAUAAUAGCGACAGCAGUCUGUGGUGUGUCUCCAUGCCGGCGACCAUUUCGUUCACGCCAUAUCGUAUAAACUUAAUAUUUGAAUUUGAUGUAAUGCAUAGUAAAAGUCUGCUUGAAAGAAUAGUUUGUUUUUUCCUUCUUGAUAUUGCUUCUGGUUCUGGAAGUGCUGCGUGUGGGGUUAUUUGUUUAUUACGUUUAAAUGGUGGCAAUGCAGGACCUGUGGUCGCAGCUGCAAGAUUUAUUCCGGAACAACAGGUUAGCAUAGACCCCCUUUUACAUUAAAUUUAUAAAAUGAACUUGUCAACUAUUUGUUCUCAUGGUUGAAAGUGUUCUUAAACGGUAACAUUUUUUACCGUUUGAAUUAUAAUAUUUUUGUUGAAAAAAUUAAAAUACUGGAGUCUAUAAAUACUCUUUCUUCGGACAGAAAUCUGAAUCCGCUUAGUCGGUUCUUUAUUUACAAAUGUCAAAUACACUGUUUAUUAUUCUCUUUGGGAUUUGGUGAUGAAAAGAUGAAAGAGCUCGUGAGGCUUUACAUCACUAUCCACAGGUCAGUAUUAAUUUCUCCUAAAACAAGCUUCUUGUGUUUAUUGUUGUUGUUUUUUCAUAAAAUCUGCCGCCAUGAUAUCUUUGUUUUUCUACUGUUUUAUUUUGGCUAUAGUAAUCAUGAAGGUGAAAAUUUGUUCAAGUCUUCAAUCUACGUCAGAGCUUCAUGAGUUUUUUGUUGUUGUUUUUGUCUAUUAUGUAGGUAGCGUGUGAUAGUUUUAUAAUACAAUGAUUAGUUAGUUGGUGAGAACAAAUUCUUAGACUCUUAUUUGUCUUGUUGCAACAGGAAGUUCUUUGGAUCAAAUCAGCUGUGAAGGAAUGUGGAGAAAACAUAUCGAAAGAGCAGUUAAUAUGUUUGGAAGACAUUAAACAAUAGCAAGGUAAAAACACACACAAUUCCUCUACAUGAUCCCAGGGCAAAGAGAGUUUGCCUUGAAGCAUUUACCUGAUGACCCUCUUUUGCAGCUGGUGUCAAAGCUUUACGAUGUUGUGCCACCCUGUUCUCACCGAGCUUGGAAAGGUGAAGAACCCGUGACCAAAUGUUGAUGCUCGCAGUGGGGUCUUGCUGGACCACUAUGGUCGAACCGAAGCAAGCAGAUAUUUCUUUUAAAGUAACUUCGCGCCUUAAGACAAAUACCUAAUGUUGUGCGUUUUGUAGGUACUACACCGUUCUCUUUGGUGUUUGAAGGAGUCUUGGCAUCUGCUCUCAGGUAUAUCUAUAUAUUUACACAAUGAGUAAAUAAGGGAAAGAAAAAAGUCAUUAGGAGGCAUUGACUUAGGAGGCAUUGAAAGACAAAUAAUUUUACUGUCCAACUAUCAAAAAGUAUCAAACCGGUUAUUACAAGAUCGAUCAAAACCUUUUAUACUUAUAACGAAUUAGCCAGAAAAUUGGCAGCGCUUAAAACUUUUGGAUCAGAAGCAAUGGCCGAUAAUAUCAUAUCAUCCCCAUUGUCUAAUUUGGCUCCUUAACUCUAUCCACCUGAAACACACACAUAACCUCAGCGAUACAGUGUGCAUCAGAUUAGAGUUUUGAACAGAGGACACAAACCUCAUUGAGGUUUCGAGCAGACUUGGAGGUUAACGAUAAGUGUGUAUCACUUCUAAUGUUCUUGUGAUUAGUGGAUUUU